rnacentral:lncRNA from 1 species
UCGUUAUUCGUUUGAUUAUUUAAUUAUUAUUGCUAGUCGUUUGAUCGUUUCGUUGUUGUUGCGUUGUCUUUGAGAUGGAUAAAUGAAAAUUUAGUGAGGAAAAUGGCUAUGAAUGUCGUGUAUAAGCUGAAAAUGAGGAAAAGAAGGAAAUAAUUAUGCGUAUUAACUUAACCACUCCACAAGAUGCUGAUAAAUAUCUAUCAGCAUACAAAUUGUAUUCAGGGAUAAACUGGAUUCGAAAUGGGGAGUUAAAAGAUCCGCAAGAGUUGUCUAUCAUAAAUAUUAUGUGUGCCAACAUAGUUCAAUAAAUAAGAAAAGAAGUUGUACCAAGUUUGAAAUGAAUACAGGAUGUGUUGCAACAGUAGAUGUUAAAAUUUAAAAAAUUACUACUAAAAUAAAAAGAAAGGAUGAAUACCUAAAGUUAGAUAUUCCUUUAUGUGGUAUUAUAAAUUUUAACUUAAAUCAUUAACCAUAAUCUUGGCACAAGUGGUAGUUUGAAAUUUAUGAAGCUUUCUGAAGAGACUAAAAAGAUGUUUGAAGGAUAUUUUGAGAAAGGAAUGAGCCCUGCCGAAGCAAGAAGAUACCAUGAAAGUUUGUUAUUAUUGGAUGAAAAAGGUUGGAAAAAAAUGGCAGAUGCCGCUCUGAAUCCUACUAAAAAUGCACUUUAUUACCUUCAUAAAAAAUGGACUUUAAGGCAUUUUGGACAGGUAUUUGAGCCAAUACCAAAACUUCAAGAAAAAAAAAGUUUUAUCAUCAAUCAGGAAUAAAUAUUGAAAUUGCAACAGACCCAUGGGCAGUAUUGAUAGUUACGCCAAUCAUGAAAAGAGCACAGGAACUGCAGUCCUCCAAGGAACUGAUAUUUUGCGACAGUACAUCAAGUUGCGACACCAGCGAGACCACAGUUACUGUGUUACUAACAGCUACAAAAGCUGGUGCCAUUCCCAUUGCGAUACUUUUGCAUGAUGGGCAAACUUUUGAAAGUUAUGAACAAGCCUAUGGAUUGCUAAAGCAGACAUUUCCAAACUCUUUUGGAGGGAAUUUUGAGCCUAUAUGUUUUAUGACAGACGACUCCAAAGCUGAAAAGACAGCUCUUAAAAAUACAUUUCCAAAUUCUACUCGGCUACUGUGUUUUUUCACGUGCUUCAAAAAGAAUGGCAAUGGCUUUGUGAAAACAAAAAUAAGAUUUCCAUGGAAAAGCGUCAAAUCUUAAUACAUUCGUUUCGUAAGAUUAUGUAUUCUGAAAGUAAUGAAGAUCUAAAUGAACACAUGUUAAAGCUGCAGCAAGAAGUGGAGGAUUGUCCAAAUUUUUGGGCAAGAUUUGAAAUUUAUUUUUCUAGAGGACAAGAGUGGUUGUAUCUUCACAGGAAACAUUUGGUCAUAAGAGGGAAUAAUACAAACAAUUACGCAGAAGUAAUCAUCAAAAUACUUAAGGACAUUAUUCUUCAUCGUACAAAAGGUUACAAUUGUGUGGCAUUAGUUGAUUUAAUUGCUUUUGUUUGGGAGGAGUAUUUUAAAUGCAAGCUAUUAGAUUUUGCCCAUGGAAGAAGAAACGAAAUAAAAAAUAAUUAUUUCAAGCUAUGUGCAAAAGUAAAUGAUUUUAAACCGGGAGAUAUUGUAACUUUGGGAGAUGAAUUGUAUCAAAUUAGUAGUAGUUCUAAUAUCUUUUGAAAAAACAUUAUUGACGUGCCAAUUGGUGUAUGCAAUUGUCUUGCAGGCAUAAAUGGGUCAUUUUGUAAGCACCAAGAUUACCUACAUAAACAUUUAAAUAUUCCAUUUUUGAAUGCCCCUGCUAUUAAUUUUCAAGAAAGAGCAUCACUUGGGUGGCUAGCUCUUGGCGAGAAAUGCCCCGAAUCCAAAUGGUUUUUGGCCCUAAGUGAGUUUUCAGAAAAUGCAGAAAAUAUACAAGAUUGUGGUUAUCAAGAAAACCAUCUGGAAACUAGAAUCGAUGCACCAUUUUCAUUAUUUGACGAGACAAUAAUGGAGAUUGAUGACACGUUGGAAGAUGACAACAAAAAGGAAGAUGUAAUUGAAGAAAUUAAAGAAGAAUGUAAAAAAUUUGAUAAAAUGCUUAAGGAAAUACCUUUAAAAGCAUUAGAAAGACUUGCAAACAAACUAAAAAGAAUACAAACUGCGCCGCAGCUAUAUUCUUUCAUAGACAGUAAAGUUUCUAGGGUCAAAUGCAACUCAAAAAUUAAAGUCCAGCCAACAACUGCUUCUCGAAGACGGCCUGGAGCCACUCGUGGAAGUUCAAUAAUCCCUUCAGGAAGACCACCUUGUGGCAAACGUAGUAGCCAAAGUGUUGUCAAAGGUAGUUGUAAAAGUAGUGGAAAAUGAAAACAUAACAUAAGUUUAAAUAUAUCUUUAAAUCAACGAAACGCAAUUAUUCAUGGUCCCGCGCAUUAAAUACAUAAUAUGUACAAAAGUAAUAAAAAAUAUUGUUUAGAUUUUUUAUUAAA